AUGAUGCAAAGAGAAAACCGGCGACUACAGCGCCGUCACACCCACGCCGACGAGUGCACGCAGCUCCUAGAGCCGCCGGCGACCGCUGCAUCGCAGCACCGGGAGCCACCGGAACUGCUCCAUCACAACACCGAGCUCGCCGCCGCGCCAAGCUUCAUUGCAACUCCGGCGGGAGCUUCAUUGCAGCUCCGGCGGCGCUCCAUUGCAGCUCCGACGGAGUCCAUUCCAUCGCCAUCGCAGCUUCAACGACUCCGGCGGCGCUCCAUUGCAGCUCCGACGGAGUCCAUUCCAUCCCCAUCGCAGCUUCAACGACUCCGGCGACGCUCAACUGCAGCUCAGCGCGGCGCGAGCGUUGCAUAG
rnacentral:rRNA from 1 species